rnacentral:rRNA from 1 species
AUAUCCCGAAGGCGGCGGUUGUGCUUGCUUGUCUUGCGCUCUCACUGUUCUGACGGAUGCUUUUAUUAGACCAAGCCGCUGAGGACUUGAGAAUUCGUUCUCCUGUCUGACUCGUGUAAUGGUGACUCUGGAUAACCAAUUCUGACAAGCGCACGUACUUCUCUUCUGAGCGAGACGGCGCUGCCACUUUCGAGUGUCUGCCUUAUCAGCUAUCAACCGUUCGUUAUGCGCGACCGAUGGCUUUGACGGGUAACGGGGAAUCAGGGUUCGAUUCCGGAGAGGCAGCCUGAGAGACGGCUACCACGUCCAAGGACGGCAGCAGGCACGCAAAUUACCCAAUCCCAGCAAAUGGGGGAGGUAGUGACGAAAUCUAACGAUGCGGGCGCCCUUUCUGGGGCCCCGCAAUCGGAAUGGGCACUUUCUAAACAACCUGUUGAGAACCUACUGAAGGGCAAGUCUGGUGCCAGCAGCCGCGGUAAUUCCAGCUUCAGCAGCAUCUAUUAAAGUUGCUGCGGUUAAAAGGCUCGCAGUUGAAUGUCUGUAUCGAGCGCAGGUCAGGUGGACGUUGGGGCGUGGAAGUACGGGCUGUUGGAUGUCCCGAGGGCCUCGUGCUCGAGGGCUCCUUCGGC